AUGGAGGAAAAGAUUAUUGUCGCCGUCUGUGGGCACCCCGAACUUUACGAUACAACUCUUUAUGCUUACCGAAACCGGAGCUAUAAAGAUAAAGCGUGGAACAAGGUCGGAGAAGCCGUGGGACUACCUGGAGAUCUGCCGCCGGAGGUGGAAAAGUCUCAAGAGACACGUAUCAAAGAGAGAAGAGAGAGAGAGCAGCGAGAAGCGCAGUGGGAGUGCAGCUCAGUCCACUAAAAAGUGGAAGUACGCUGCGGUCCCGUGGUUCCUCGACCCAUUUAUGACUCCGCCCCCGACGCGUCCGACGCGUCUGGUGUGAACACACUUUUUUCGACGCGCGUCAAGACUGCUGCGUCAGACGCGGCGAGAAUUUUUUCGACGCGUCCGGUGUGAACGCACCAUAAGGUUUAUUGAAAAGUUGGCAGCUCUGGUUAACGCUACAAUUUUUCUCCUGCCCCAAACCACCUUUUGUCCUCACAUGUAUGUAGUUCAUCCAAUUACUGUUCCUUGCGUAAAAAAUAAAAUAAUUGGGAAAAUAGCUGCCUCAAGGCAGGAACUGGACUUGUGUUAGCAAGUAGCUAUAGUUAGCUAACAGCUACCUUGCAACAUUUAGUCAGCCAGCCUGCUGCUGUUCUGCUGAAAUCACAGUGCAUGUCAAGUACACACAGUCUUUAUCAUAUAUUAUUGAUUGCAUACAUUGUGUCUUGAUUUAAUUCAACACAGCUUCUUUUAUAUUAGUUCCCAUUAGGGUCCAUGUCACAGUGAUAGCUUAAUGUCUUGACAAUAAAACAACAUGAGCAGCCUCCCUAUUAUUUUUUAUUAUUGCUUUUUAAAAAAACCUCUACAUCUGAUCAAUUAUCUAAAUACUGAAUGUAGGCUUGGCUUAGUUUUGACUGCAACCAUAGCAAUUAGAUAUGUGAAGGACAGCUCAUAAAUGAAACAGGUGAAAAUCAUAACAAUAAUAGUGUUCCAUAGUUGUGUCUGUUCCAGGGUCAAAGUAUUUGGCCUACAUGGUGUACACAUAGAUCCAUUAUUAUUGAUAUAUUUGCUGUACCAGCUAAAACAUAUCUAAACAUCUGCCAUACAAAAAUCUGCCAUAUUUUAGCCUGAGGGCCUUUCUGCUACUGUGCAGAGGCUAUAUUAUCACACAUGAUGAACUAGGCCCCUCCACUGGUUAAUUGAGUGCAUUUAUACUACCUAUAGGCCUAUAUUGGUAUGUAAUAAACUAUAAAUGCAAACAUAA